GAUGAAGAACGCAGCGAAAUGCGAUACUUGGUGUGAAUUGCAGAAUCCCGUGAACCAUCGAGUCUUUGAACGCAAGUUGCGCCCGAAGCCUCGGCUAAGGGCACGUCUGCCUGGGCGUCACGCAUCGCGUCUCCCCCAAACCGCCAAGGCGGAGGGGAAGGAAGAUGGCUUCCCGUGCCUCACCCGGGCGCGGUUGGCCUAAAUUUGGAGCCCGCGGCACUUAGCUCUCGCGGCGAUAGGUGGUGAACAAGGCCUUGGCCGUGCAAACAACCCGCUGCGAAGCUCUAUGUCACGUGCGCUCGUCGGACCCUUUGAAGUUGCCUUCGGUGACUUAAAACCUUUGCGACCCCAGGUCAGGCGGGGCUACCCGCUGAAUUUAAGCAUAUCAUAAGCGGAGGA
rnacentral:misc_RNA from 1 species